UACAGAGGUCCCAAGCGUUGUUCGGAUUCACUGGGCGUAAAGGGUGCGUAGGCGGUCAGGUAAGUCUGAUGUGAAAUCUCACAGCUUAACUGUGAAACUGCAUUGGAUACUAUCCGGCUCGAGGAAUGGAGGGGAGACUGGAAUACUUGGUGUAGCAGUGAAAUGCGUAGAUAUCAAGUGGAACACCAGUGGCGAAGGCGAGUCUCUGGACAUUUCCUGACGCUGAGGCACGAAAGCCAGGGGAGCAAACGGG
rnacentral:rRNA from 1 species